rnacentral:rRNA from 1 species
UACAGAGAGUGCAAGCGUUAAUCGGAAUCAUUGGGCGUAAAGCGCGCGUAGGUGGAUAUUUAAGUCGAAUGUGAAAUCCCUGGGCUUAACCUGGGAAUUGCAUCCGAUACUGGAUAUCUUGAGUAUGGUAGAGGGAAGUGGAAUUUCCGGUGUAGCGGUGAAAUGCGUAGAUAUCGGAAAGAACACCAGUGGCGGAAGCGGCUUCCUGGACCAAUACUGACACUGAGGCGCGAAAGCGUGGGGAGCAAAC